UUUCAGAACGAUUUUAGAUCUAAAGGCAGUCAACAAAUGAUAAAAAAAUGUUUCCUAUGGAGAUGAUAAAUUCAGCCAGUCACAUUAUUCAACCAGGAAAUUUGCUUAUUUCUCUGGACUUGAAGGAUGCAUACUUGCACAUUCCCAUCACAGAAACAAGCAAGAGAUUCUUAAGAUUCGCCAUCAAGUUCCAACAGCAAUGUUUUCAUUAUCAGUUCAGAGUACUUCCGUUUGACCUUUAGUCAGCCCCAAGAGUUUUCACAAAAACACUGGUAGUUAUUGCCACGGAUUUAAGAAGUCAUCUAUGUGAUCCUGUAUUUGGACAACUGGCUUUUAACAGUCUAUUCAAAAGAACUUUGUCAAG